rnacentral:misc_RNA from 1 species
CACCCUGAAAAGAUCUCCUAGUGCUCCACGAAUUUCCAUCUAAACAAAGGCAGUGAAGAUCAGUUUUUCAGUUAACAGAAGCAGUUUACCAAUGGUAAUGGAGACAAUCAUGCAAGGAAAUUUCUCAUUUAGGUAGAAGAGAAAAUGGUGGAUACUUCCUUUUUCCACCUUGCCUAAUCGUUCUAGAAGUAGAAGAUACCUGAUCACAACACACAAGUUUUGUAAGCAAAGGAUAGAAGUCUCUCAAAUGUCUUCUGAAAAUCUUGUCGUUCAUAAAGCACAUGCUUUUAAGCACCUGAAAGAUCAAAAUGACAAAGAAAUUGCAUAAACACUGCAGUCUCUAAAAAUAAAUGAGAAUAACUGAGUACACCACUCAUCUGCUUCAACACCACCUUCACCAUGACAAAGAAAUUGGUGAAUAGACAUUCACCAAAGAGGUAUGAAUAAAGAACUAAAGGGACCAUAGACCAGUCCUUGUAAAUUAAACUUCUAUAUAUUGUGCAUAAAUCAAAUCACGAGCAGGGGGGAAAAACUCCAGUAAAUGAAGUGUCAUUAGAAUUUGGGAGCUUCCUCCUGCCCCUACCAAUCAGAAAGAGAGGAGGCGGAGGAGGGAAGUAAUAUACCCAAAUGCUGGCAGGCACGACAGCACUGAUCAAGAGGAAGAUGAAGAUCAAGAGGACCAUCAUUCAAUCAUUCUUCACCAUAGCACUGAUGGUAAAUAACAUGCAAAAGAAAAUAAUAGACCACAUUUUCACCCAAAACAUGCUGAUGUGAAAUAUUAUUACACCCAAGAGUUGUAAUCUUAUAUAACCAGAAGAAAUAACAUAGAAAGAUAUUUAUACUUGCAAUAUUUCUUCAAGGAAAUGCAUACAUAUACCCAAAUAAGUCCGCCAUUGUAAACUAUCAUAUUAUCACUGACAAGUCGAAAGCUCCAAAUCCAUAACUAAUAAGAGAGGCAUUUCAUACCUUGACAAUGAUCGGUGACCGU